AUUGAACGCUGGCGGCAGGCCUAACACAUGCAAGUCGAACGAGUGGCGGACGGGUGAGUAAUGUCUGGGAAACUGCCUGAUGGAGGGGGAUAACUACUGGAAACGGUAGCUAAUACCGCAUACCAUCGGAUGUGCCCAGAUGGGAUUAGCUAGUAGGUGGGGUAACGGCUCACCUAGGCGACGAUCCCUAGCUGGUCUGAGAGGAUGACCAGCCACACUGGAACUGAGAUACGUUCCAGACUCCUACGGGAGGCAGCAGUGGGGAAUAUUGCACAAUGGGCGCAAGCCUGCUGCAGCCACGCCGCUUGUAUGAAGAAGGCCUUCGGGUUGUAAAGUACUUUCAGAGGGGAGGCGUUACCCGCAGCAGAAGCACCUGCUAACUCCGUGCCAGUAGCCGCGGUAAUAC
rnacentral:rRNA from 1 species